rnacentral:rRNA from 1 species
CUACGGGACGCUGCAGUGGGGAAUAUUGGACAAUGGACCAAAAGUCUGAUCCAGCAAUUCUGUGUGCACGAUGACGGUCUUCGGAUUGUAAAGUGCUUUCAGUUGGGAAGAAAAAAAUGACGGUACCAACAGAAGAAGCGACGGCUAAAUACGUGCCAGCAGCCGCGGUAAUACGUAUGUCGCAAGCGUUAUCCGGAUUUAUUGGGCGUAAAGCGCGUCUAGGUGGUUUGAUAAGUCUGAUGUGAAAAUGCGGGGCUCAACUCCGUAUUGCGUUGGAAACUGUCAAACUAGAGUAUCGGAGAGGUGGGAGGAACUACAAGUGUAGAGGUGAAAUUCGUAGAUAUUUGUAGGAAUGCCGAUAGAGAAGUCAGCUCACUGGACGAAUACUGACACUGAAGCGCGAAAGCAUGGGGAGCAAACAGGAUUAGAUACCCCAGUAGUC